rnacentral:rRNA from 1 species
UACGUAGGGUGCAAGCGUUGUCCGGAAUUAUUGGGCGUAAAGAGCUCGUAGGCGGUUUGUUGCGUCGAAUGUGAAAACCCGGGGCUCAACCCCGGGCCUGCAUUCGAUACGGGCAGACUAGAGUUCGGUAGGGGAGUCUGGAAUUCCUGGUGUAGCGGUGAAAUGCGCAGAUAUCAGGAGGAACACCGGUGGCGAAGGCGGGACUCUGGGCCGAUACUGACGCUGAGGAGCGAAAGCGUGGGGAGCGAACAGG